rnacentral:rRNA from 1 species
CUACGGGUCGCACCAGUGGGGAAUAUUGGACAAUGGGGGAAACCCUGAUCCAGCAAUGCCGCGUGUGUGAAGAAGGCCUGCGGGUUGUAAAGCACUUUCGGUUGGGAGGACUGCUUCUAGCACUAAUAUUGUUGGAAGUUGACGUUACCUUCAGAAGAAGCACCGGCUAACUCCGUGCCAGCAGCCGCGGUAAUACGGAGGGUGCAAGCGUUAAUCGGAAUUACUGGGCGUAAAGCGCGCGUAGGCGGCUAGAUCAGUCGGGUGUGAAAGCCCCGGGCUUAACCUGGGAACUGCAUCCGAUACUGUCUAGCUGGAGUACAGGAGAGGAGAGUGGAAUUCCACAUGUAGCGGUGAAAUGCGUAGAUAUGUGGAGGAACACCAAUGGCGAAGGCAGCUCUCUGGCCUAAUACUGACGCUGAGGUGCGAAAGCGUGGGGCGCAAACAGGAUUAGAUACCCUCGUAGUC